rnacentral:rRNA from 1 species
UGGGGAAUUGUUCGCAAUGGGCGCAAGCCUGACGACGCAACGCCGCGUGGAGGAUGAAGGUCUUCGGAUUGUAAACUCCUGUCGAUCGGGACGAAAAGCUUCAACCUAAUACGUUGAAGACUGACGGUACCGGUUGAGGAAGCCACGGCUAACUCUGUGCCAGCAGCCGCGGUAAUACAGAGGUGGCAAGCGUUGUUCGGAAUUACUGGGCGUAAAGGGCGCGUAGGCGGCCUCCUAAGUCGGACGUGAAAGCCCCAGGCUUAACCUGGGAACUGCGUCCGAUACUGGGAGGCUUGGAUUCGGGAGAGGGAUGUGGAAUUCCAGGUGUAGCGGUGAAAUGCGUAGAUAUCUGGAGGAACACCGGUGGCGAAGGCGGCAUCCUGGACCGAGAUCGACGCUGAGGCGCGAAAGCUAGGGGAGCAAACGGGAUUAGAUACCCCCGUAGUCCCUGAGCGGGCUGGCAAGGCGCAU